AACGAACGCUGGCGGCAUGCCUAACACAUGCAAGUCGAACGAGACCUUCGGAUCUAGUGGCGCACGGGUGCGUAACGCGUGGGAACCUGCCUUUAGGUUCGGAAUAACUCAGAGAAAUUUGAGCUAAUACCGGAUAAUGUCUUCGGACCAAAGAUUUAUCGCCUUUAGAUGGGCCCGCGUAAGAUUAGCUAGUUGGUGGGGUAAAGGCCUACCAAGGCGACGAUCUUUAGCUGGUCUGAGAGGAUGAUCAGCCACACUGGGACUGAGACACGGCCCAGACUCCUACGGGAGGCAGCAGUGGGGAAUAUUGGACAAUGGGCGAAAGCCUGAUCCAGCAAUGCCGCGUGAGUGAUGAAGGCCUUAGGGGUUGUAAAAGCUCUUUUUACCCGGGAUGAUAAUGACAGUACCGGGAGAAUAAGCCCCGGCUAACUCCGUGCCAGCAGCCGCGGUAAU
rnacentral:rRNA from 1 species